rnacentral:rRNA from 1 species
GUUGUAUAGUCAAGUAAUUAAGUGCAUGUGGUGGAUGCCUUGGCAGUCAGAGGCGAUGAAAGACGUGAUAGCCUGCGAAAAGCUCCGGGGAGGCGGCAAAUAUCCUUUGAUCCGGAGAUGUCUGAAUGGGGGAACCCACCUACUUUAAGGUAGGUAUUGCAACAUGAAUACAUAGUGUUGCAAGGCGAACGAGGGGAAGUGAAACAUCUCAGUACCCUUAGGAAAAGAAAUCAAUUGAGAUUCCCUCAGUAGCGGCGAGCGAACGGGGAUCAGCCCAUUAAGUUAUGUGUGUUUUAGUGGAACGCUCUGGGAAGUGCGAACGUAGAGGGUGAUAUUCCCGUACACGAAAGGGCACACAUAAUGAUGACGAGUAGGGCGAGGCACGUGAAACCUUGUCUGAAUAUGGGGGGACCAUCCUCCAAGGCUAAAUACUCCUGACUGACCGAUAGUGAACCAGUACCGUGAGGGAAAGGCGAAAAGAACCCCUGUGAGGGGAGUGAAAUAGAUCCUGAAACCGCAUGCAUACAAGCAGUGGGAGCACCUUCGUGGUGUGACUGCGUACCUUUUGUAUAAUGGGUCAGCGACUUAUAUUCAGUAGCAAGGUUAACCGUAUAGGGGAGCCGUAGAGAAAUCGAGUCUUAAUAGGGCGUUUAGUUGCUGGGUAUAGACCCGAAACCAGGCGAUCUAUCCAUGAGCAGGUUGAAGGUUGGGUAACACUAACUGGAGGACCGAACCCACUGUCGUUGAAAAGCCAGGGGAUGACUUGUGGAUAGGGGUGAAAGGCUAAUCAAGCCUGGUGAUAGCUGGUUCUCCCCGAAAGCUAUUUAGGUAGCGCCUCGGACGAAUACCAUAGGGGGUAGAGCACUGUUUCGGCUAGGGGGUCAUCCCGACUUACCAAACCGAUGCAAACUCCGAAUACCUAUGAGUACUAUCCGGGAGACAGACUGCGGGUGCUAACGUCCGUAGUCAAGAGGAAAACAAUCCAGACCGCCAGCUAAGGCCCCAAAAUCAUAGUUAAGUGGGAAACGAUGUGGGAAGGCAUAGACAGCUAGGAGGUUGGCUUAGAAGCAGCCACCCUUUAAAGAAAGCGUAAUAGCUCACUAGUCGAGUCGGCCUGCGCGGAAGAUGUAACGGGGCUAAAACUAUGUGCCGAAGCUGCGGAUNNNNNNNNNUUGACAUUAGUCAAGUGGUAGGGGAGCGUUCUGUAAGCCGAUGAAGGUGUAUUGAGAAGUAUGCUGGAGGUAUCAGAAGUGCGAAUGCUGACGUGAGUAACGACAAAACGGGUGAAAAACCCGUUCGCCGAAAGACCAAGGGUUCCAGUCCAACGUUAA